UUGUUCUUCAGACCGGUAUUUGCUACUCGAACUUCUUCGUGGUCAGACAAUGGAACGUCUGCGCCAUCGUCAUCGUUUGAUGAUACGUUAUGGUAUUUCAACGCUGUAACCAUAUGUCGGUGACUUAAAAUCCUCCAGCGCACAUUUGAAAAAUAUGCAAUAUAACAUAUGUAUGUGCAUGCAUAUUUCUUGGCACAUUAGAAUCAUAACAAUUCAAACUCAACGACCUGUUGCGAAACGUUUGCGAUGUAGAAGUAAUCAAACUGUUGAAUAGAUUCACCAAUUGUAGGCUUUUUCCGACGAUUUGCUGCUUUGCUUGCAAAAGUCAACGCCAACACCAAAGCCAUUGUCAACGUUGACCUCAAUAUCAGCGGCUGCGCUAGCAACAACGAUGACAAUUAACUGUCAAUUCGCGCCAAAAACAAACACGAACACUCUCAGCAGUUUCUCAUAGAACCGCAAACAAGAUAGAAUGAAAGUAGAAUGAAAUGAGUGCAGCAGGUAAACUAUGAAAAAAAGUGUGAAUAAAAAAAUUAAUAACAAACAAGAAAGCCGGCAUAUUGGAAUAUGCACAUACACUAUUAUAUAACUACUAACAAAUAUUCAGUGAGUGCUGUGUGCGCUGUGAAAAAGCCGGUUAGAAAAUAAAAUGGGAAUUCGUCAUAAGUCGCUAAGCAAAACAAUUGCAUGUGUUGUAGGGAGAGGAGUGGGUGAGAAAUCGCACAGCGCUAAAUGUCGCUAAUUUGUAUGCACUUGCGAAUGUGAUGUGCACAGGAGUGCAAAGUGCAGCGGAUCAAGUUGAAUAGCAAUAAAAAAAAAUAGUUUGCACGCUAAUACAGAUUUAGACAUUAGUACGAUUGUAAAUGGAAAUGUAAUGCUGUAAUGCGCAACUAUAAAACAGCGACACGUACAGACUCGGCGUGUGCAUUACCUACUCGUGGAUAGUAUAUUCAAUUCAGAGAUUUAGCAAUUGUCUUAAUAGUUUGUAACACGCUCAAAUUUAUAUGCAAAAUUGGCUGGAAAGUGUGAAAAUUAUAAAUCGCAUCUUUGGAAUAUAUUCUGUAGAGAAAUCUGAAUUUAACGCUGUUCUUAACUGGCUUUGUGUUUUCAUGUGUGAUUGAGGCUUAGUGGCAUUGUGGAAUCAGCUGAUGUGUGCUUGUCAUAAAGACAUCAAAAAAGAGCAUCCAGUUCAGAGAUAUAGUGGUCACGAUAAAACGUAUUUUUUGAGAGGAGCUCCCGGAGAUCAGCUGUAGUUUCCUUUCCAAAUAAAUAUUUUUACUAAUACUAAGUCUUAAAAUACAGUUAAGAUACCAUAAUAAGUGUACAAAUUUUUGGAUCAGUAAAUUUGAAAGUUUUCUCAGAAAAAAUUCUGGAACUUUCGCUUUUUUCGGCGUUCUAACUGUAUAUAACCCCUUAAAGUGUUUGUGGUGCUAAAUUUAUAAAUAUAAUAUGAAUAUGUCUUUAUGUAGAAAAGUAUGUAGAUCAGGGAACCAUUUUUUCUUGCUUUUUCUUGACUUCUGCUCUACAAAACGUUACUUAGACAUAUAACCAUGUACAUGGACUACUGAUUUAUUUCCCUCUCGGACAAUAAAAUAUUGAUAAAAACAGUAGAGAACUACCCGACAAACUUAAUCUAAAAGUCUUCGGUCCAAACGGGGUUAAAUGCCGAAAAAAUAGCGCUUGGACGCAUAAAUCCGGAACCGGCUGUCGUGGCUACACAUCUGACACCUUUCUCCCUAUCGUCCGAUGUCGUCGAAGCAACACGUUUACUAGGCUUACCGUUGGAUGGCCUCGUUGACAACUUUACCACCCUAACGGGGACUAGGCAACCGUUACAACCGUUACAACAACAACAGAACUACCCGAAUAACCUGUAAACCUAAAGAUAAUGGUGCCUUCCAGCGAGUUAUGUUUAGCUAAGAAUCGGCAUCGAACAUAUCGCUAGACCACUGCAGCGGCAGAAUUACAACCAGCUACAACAACACCAUAGACCACUAUACUCAACUUAAAAUUCAUUGAUCAUAUGAUAUAAUUCUUGGUACAUAUGUACAUAUGUAUAUGUAUGUAUAUGCGUACAUACUUAUGUAUAUCAAUCAAUUAGAAGGAUUUAUGUUGUUUUAUAUACUUUUAUAAACAAAUAUAUCUAUAUAAGCUCGAAAUUUUUUUUGGUGCAUUGACAUUUGUAUUAUCGGAUUUUAUAUAUUUAAACGCGAUAAGAUAUUGUGCAAAAAAAUAGAACCGUUUAAUCAAGGUGACAUUUAUUUUGCCUAGUCAUGGUCUGCGCAGGCAAACAAAAAAUACAAUACAAAAUACAAAAAUGCGAAAAAUACAAAAAUACAGUGAUUACAAUAGAUUGAAAUAUGUAUGUAUGGUAUAUGCAGUCUACCAAAGCUAAAUUCAUACAAAAUUUGUGGAAAUGAAGUGUACUAUAAUAUAAUAAUGUGAAAUAACAAAAAAUUUGUUUUUUUUUUUUCAUUUCACAUUAGAAGUGUCCUCUUACAGGCACAGUUUAACUUUAGAUGUUUUUCUUAAAACUUUAUAAAAUUGAGUUAGGCAGUUAUGUUAUGCAUACGUACAUACACAUUUUAAUCGUCUGUAUUAUUAGAUAAGAUUAUCAAAUUUGCGUUAUAAAUAAUGAAAGCUAUUAGUAAUGGAAAAAUAUUUAUAUCAUAAAUCAGGAGAUAAUAAUCAAUGGCAAAACAAAGAAUGCAGAACUACAGAUCAUAUAUUCCAGACUAACUUUUGUUUCGAAAAUUUAUUAAAUAAAUGCCGUAUUAUAUACAUAUGUAAAUGCAUAUCAGGUACUAUAUUCAUUUCAUUGCAAG